rnacentral:lncRNA from 1 species
GCCAUAGUGUAAUAUUCCAUUUCACUCGGAUGCAUGCAUGGGAGUGGAAGUAUAAUUUUCACUGAUGAAGCAAAUCAGGAUAAAAGCAGACAUUAGGAAAAAAGAAAAAAAAAAAAAAAAAAAAGUAAACUUAUAAUUUUGUUGUAAUGUUAUACCUCAGUUAACUUUUCCAUUAAUUUUUCUGUUAACUGCUGACGUGAGACCCACUAUUUUGCUAAUCAGAAUAAAAAAUUAAUUAAUUAAUAAAAAAUUAUUUGUUAUUUAUUUAAAAAUUAAAAAUUAAUUAAAACAAACAAACCUUUUUCUUCCUUUUUUCCCCAGAAACCGUGCUUUCUCCCCAACGCCCCUUCGUCCUCCUCCGCCGCCUUCUUCCUCCUCCGUCCCCUUCAUCCUCCUCUUUAAACACAAGUGUCGGAUCUUUUCUGGCCCGCUUCGACUGACCCAGAGAACGGCCAUCUUUUCCCUCAAACUCUCCCUUCUCUCCUAACGCUCACCAUCUUUUCUUCUCUGUGUUUACAGAGACGCCGAGCCCCAGAGAAAGGCCAUCACCAGACCACCACCACAACUGUGUCACUCUCUCUUCUUCUCUCCCUCAACGCU